GAUGAACGCUGGCGGCGUGCUUAACACAUGCAAGUCGAACGAAGAUGCCGGAGUGCUUGCACUUUGGCAGACUGAGUGGCGGACGGGUGAGUAACGCGUGGGUAACCUGCCUUAUACAGGGGGAUAACAGUUGGAAACGACUGCUAAUACCGCAUAAGCGCACGGUAUCGCAUGAUACAGUGUGAAAAACUCCGGUGGUAUAAGAUGGACCCGCGUCUGAUUAGCUUGUUGGUGAGGUAACGGCCCACCAAGGCGACGAUCAGUAGCCGGCCUGAGAGGGUGAACGGCCACAUUGGGACUGAGACACGGCCCAAACUCCUACGGGAGGCAGCAGUGGGGAAUAUUGCACAAUGGGGGAAACCCUGAUGCAGCGACGCCGGCGUGAGUGAUGAAGUAUUUCGGUAUGUAAAACUCUAUCAGCAGGGAAGAUAAUGACGGUACCUGACUAAGAAGCA
rnacentral:rRNA from 1 species